AUUUUAAUAAUAGAAAAACUUAUUUUAGGAUUUGUAUGCAUCCCUUGGAUUUCUCAUGAAUUUAAAAAUAACAAUUUCAAAGUACGAAUAGGUGCAAAGAUUCAUCCACCAACUUCGACAUUCGAUUACGGCAUUGAGCGGCGUCUUUUUCUACAUCACAAAGGGAAUGAUAUUUAAUGUAAUCGGCACGAUAAUUACCUACGAGCUGGUUUUGCUGCAGUUCAGCCGUCAAAAAACGGUAGCAUGGACGGAUAGGCAUAAUCAUACUUCCUAUUUUUAUGCAUUCUAGUAUGUGUGUGUUAUAUUUGUGUGAUUAAAUAAAUGUAUUAAAACUU